GAUGAACGCUGGCGGCGUGCCUAAUACAUGCAAGUCGAGCGAACAGACGAGGAGCUUGCUCCUCUGACGUUAGCGGCGGACGGGUGAGUAACACGUGGAUAACCUACCUAUAAGACUGGGAUAACUUCGGGAAACCGGAGCUAAUACCGGAUAAUAUAUUGAACCGCAUGGUUCAAUAGUGAAAGACGGUUUUGCUGUCACUUAUAGAUGGAUCCGCGCCGCAUUAGCUAGUUGGUAAGGUAACGGCUUACCAAGGCAACGAUGCGUAGCCGACCUGAGAGGGUGAUCGGCCACACUGGAACUGAGACGCGGUCCAGACUCCUGCGGUAGGCAGCAGCAGGGAAUCUUACGCAAUGGGCGAGAGCUUGACGGAGCAACGCCGCGUGAGUGAUGAAGGUCUUCGGCUCGUAAAACGCUGUUAUUAGUGGAGAACAAAUGUGUAAGUAACUAUGCACGUCUUGACGGUACCUAAUCAGAAAGCCACGGCUAACUACGUG
rnacentral:rRNA from 1 species